AAUCCCACACUUGGGUUUCAGGCUGCGGGGCCGGAGCUGGGAGGUGCUGUAGCAGCAGGACUCCCCAUGGGGAUGCUGCUCAGGACCAGCAGCUGCAGGGCUGGGGCUGCGUCCCCCCCUUGUAAUGACAGGAUAAGAAGGGACGGGGUCAGACAAAGUGCCUGCGCUGGGCAGGGGCUGCCAGCCAAGGGCCGGCUGUGGAGCAGCUGUGCUGCAGCACCGUAACCGCAGCUCUGCAGUGAGAGCCGCGAGCAGCGCUCAGCCCCAACCCCUGCAGCAGAGAGCGGCUCCCGGCUUAGCGAGGCGAAACACAGCUUGGAGAGGAGCAGCGUGCACGGAGCGGGCUGGAAGGCAGCACGGGAAGCGGAGCAGAGCGGGGCAGGGCAGCGCUGCUGUCAGCUCCCAUCGCCCGCAGCUCCGUGAUGCUGCAAGCUUGAGGGUAAAGGAGAUGCAGGGCUGGGAAAUCAAACUAUCCUGCAGAAUUGGGGGCUGUUAGAAGCCAAUAAAGCAGCCGGCUGACCCCGAGGAGCAGCAGAAAGCACCCGGAGCCCCUCCGCCACCGCUGCAGCACGCGCUGCCUGCAUCCAUCCCAAGGCAGCCCGCAGUAACGCAGCAGAAAGACAAGUGUCAUGCUGAAUUGCAUUCUCCUCGCACACAACAGCCGAGCGGCAGCACCUAUAACAUGCAUGGCUCAGCCGUGCCACCACGCCACGCCGGAAUGGAGAGCCUUAAAAUAAGAUUUUUCCCCCUUGCUUUGGAAAGGAAAAGCAGUCGGGAUGAUGUCAUUAACCCUUGGAGGGCAGUGCGUCCCUGCAGCUCCAGAGGAAUUUUAGCACCAGGGAACGACGCUGCCAAAAAGUUCUGGCGGAGGAAAACGUUUCUACAUUAAACUUUUAGUGCUCUCUAAAGUGAAGCUACAAUUGCAUCUGAGCUUGAUCCUUAAUGGGAAGAUAGGCUUGCAGAUAAAGAAGGUCGGGUCCCAGCCCCCCACUCCACAGCACAGUGUGCACCCACAGCCCCUGAGCAGACACAUGAAGGUUGCACAGCAGAACCAACAGCAGCCCCAGCCCAUCACAGCCCCUGCCCAUCUCCGGACACACUUGGGGCCCUGAUGUGUUUCUGGCAGUGAGGGGCCCAGUACUGAACACAGCACUGCAGGUGCACAGCGACCAUCACCUCCUGCUGACUGCACUACUUCUGACACAAGCCAGGAUGCUGCUUGGCUCCUUGGCCACCCUGGCACAGCGCUGGCUCAUGUUCAUGUGACGCUGCAGAUGGAACUGAGCCUAACGCCAUCAACAGGAUGUACAAUUAAUGAUUACAGAUAAAUAAUCCAGCCGAUCACAACUCGAUUCCAAAUCCCUAUUUGGUUUAUUGGUUGGUUUUUCUAUGCGCGGCCACGAGCAUCAGGAAAUCCUUCUUUUCUUUAACACACAAAGCUAUCUGGGGCUGUUACAGGAGGACCCACAGGCCAGCAGCCCCAGACCCACAUGCUGAGCCCCAGGGCUGUGCUGGGCAGUGCAGGACGCUGCAUACAGAUGAACUGAGAUGUAAAGGACGAAAAGCCCUGGUGGCAGCUUUUGGGCCAAAUUCUCACGUGUCAAACUUCCCAACUGCUGCAGAGCAGCUCCAUGGCAUUUCAAAAGAAUUCCUGCACUGUUUUGAAUAGUGCUGACAAUCCUCUCUGUCAAAAUCUGUAAUUUAAAUGCCUUGGAGGAGAGAAGCACAGUGUUCCCCAGGGCACACACUGAUCCUUGGGGCACACACUGCUCCCCAUAGCACACACUGUUAUCCCCAGGGCACACACUGCUCCCCACAUGCAACACACUGCAUCCCCUGCCCCCACAGUGCACCCUGCUGCACCCACAGCCCCAUUUGAAGCCAUACAGCCCCAGUGCCCGGCUCCACGCUGCCCAGAAUACAAGACUGUUCUCCAUGUGACUUCAGAUGUGUCAACAAACCCAAAAUAAUGCUAUGUAAAUAGGUCUAAGUGGUGAGAACAGCAAGAUCCCUUCCCUCAGGCUCGCAGUCAUAGGAAGCUGCUCCAUUUGGACUGAGACACAUUGAAGAUUCCCUCCUGGUGCUGCAGAGCACCUUGAAAGGUCGAUGAUGGCACUGCAGCAGGAUACACGGACUGACCUAUAGAGAAGGGGAAGGCGGCCUGUGCCCGCACCCAACUCCUUAAAGGUGGUGGUACUUUGUAACACGCUCUGAUCUUUAAUAUUCAUAGCUUGCUCCAUUUGCAUAUCAUGCCAUAAAUAGUUGAAGCAGAGGUAAAACACAAAGCGCUCUACUUGCAUUUCUAAUUAUGCCUAAAAUCAAAUGUAAAUCACAACACAGCCAAGACAGAAGAUAUUAAAUUUGCUGCCUCUCUGUUAAAACAUUAGAAAUAAAAUAAGAUAAAAAAAUAAACCCCAAAGCAAUUAUUUUUUAAAGAAGAACAUCCAAAAGGCUUUCUAAGCAGGUGCAGCUGGAUGGCCCUGUUAUAGAAGCAGGGUUACUAUCAACAUCCUGCACCCAAACCUGC